GAUGAACGCUGGCGGCGUGCCUAAUACAUGCAAGUCGAGCGAAUGGAUUAAGAGCUUGCUCUUAUGAAGUUAGCGGCGGACGGGUGAGUAACACGUGGGUAACCUGCCCAUAAGACUGGGAUAACUCCGGGAAACCGGGGCUAAUACCGGAUAACAUUUUGAACCGCAUGGUUCGAAAUUGAAAGGCGGCUUCGGCUGGCACUUAUGUAUGGACCCGCGUCGCAUUAGCGAGUUGGUGAGGUAACGGCACACCAAGGCAACGAUGCGUAGCCGACCUGAGAGGGUGAUCGGCCACACUGGGACUGAGACACGGCCCAGACUCCUACGGGAGGCAGCAGUAGGGAAUCUUCCGCAAUGGACGAAAGUCUGACGGAGCAACGCCGCGUGAGUGAUGAAGGCUUUCGGGUCGUAAAACUCUGUUGUUAGGGAAGAACAAGUGCUAGUUGAAUAAGCUGGCACCUUGACGGUACCUAACCAGAAAGCCACGGCUAACUACGUGCCAGCCGCCGCGGUAA
rnacentral:rRNA from 1 species